UCGCUACUACCGAUUGGGUGAUCCGGUGAAUUAUUUGGACUUGGCGUAUGUCAGUUUUGGCGUAUGUUAAGGAAAUUUUGUGAACCUUAUCACUUAGAGGAAGUAA
rnacentral:rRNA from 1 species